rnacentral:rRNA from 1 species
AAAGGCGCUUUCGGGUGUCGCUGAUGGAUGGACCCGCGGUGCAUUAGCUAGUUGGUGAGGUAACGGCUCACCAAGGCCACGAUGCAUAGCCGACCUGAGAGGGUGAUCGGCCACAUUGGGACUGAGACACGGCCCAAACUCCUACGGGAGGCAGCAGUAGGGAAUCUUCGGCAAUGGACGAAAGUCUGACCGAGCAACGCCGCGUGAGUGAAGAAGGUUUUCGGAUCGUAAAACUCUGUUGUUAGAGAAGAACAAGGAUGAGAGUAACUGUUCAUCCCUUGACGGUAUCUAACCAGAAAGCCACGGCUAACUACGUGCCAGCAGCCGCGGUAAUACGUAGGUGGCAAGCGUUGUCCGGAUUUAUUGGGCGUAAAGCGAGCGCAGGCGGUUUCUUAAGUCUGAUGUGAAAGCCCCCGGCUCAACCGGGGAGGGUCAUUGGAAACUGGGAGACUUGAGUGCAGAAGAGGAGAGUGGAAUUCCAUGUGUAGCGGUGAAAUGCGUAGAUAUAUGGAGGAACACCAGUGGCGAAGGCGGCUCUCUGGUCUGUAACUGACGCUGAGGCUCGAAAGCGUGGGGAGCAAACAGGAUUAGAUACCCUGGUAGUCCACGCCGUAAACGAUGAGU